UUCUAUUGAAAAGUUUUUUUUGUUUUUGUUGUCAUUACCAGCAGAGAAGUGUUUCUAAUUUAUGUUUGUUAUUGAGUGUUACUGUAGAUGAUAUACACUUUUGUGGCUGGUAUAAUUUAAAAAAGGAGAAUCUGAUUCCAUUUUGCUUGUCCUACUUUCUGACAAUACUUGUCCUUGUACUUCUGACAAUACUAGUUCUACUUGUCCUCAUUGCCUACUGACUAAAAUCAUACAGAUAAAAGUAACUAAACGAAACAAGUACAUAUUUUGUCAUGUUUACUGUAAUACGUUUAUAACAAUUAUUAAUACAAUUUUAUUAACUAUGAAGUUUUAUUUCAUUUUGUGUAGAUUAACAUCAAAUUGGUCUGCAUUCCUCCAGAAGAUUGAUGUGUUCUCGGAACAAGAGUGGCUGCUAUGUAAUCAGAGCAUCAGCAGCUUUUUAUGGCUACAAAUAUGAGAGAUUAUGUUUCUUUGAUAGCAUAAGAGCAUUUAAUCUUGAAACGUUUGGAAGAUUGGCAGCAGAAGAAAACAUAAAUACUACUCUCUUUUGAAAAUGUACAUAUAAAAAUAAUUUUUAAACAUA